UAAUAUGAGAGUUUGAUCUUGGCUCAGGAUGAACGCUGGCGGCGUGCCUAAUACAUGCAAGUCGAACGAACUUCCGUUAAUUGAUUAUGACGUACUUGUACUGAUUGGGAUUUUAACACGAAGUGAGUGGCGAACGGGUGAGUAACACGUGGGUAACCUGCCCAGAAGUAGGGGAUAACACCUGGAAACAGAUGCUAAUACCGUAUAACAGAGA
rnacentral:rRNA from 1 species